rfam:Heligmosomoides polygyrus genome assembly, scaffold: HPBE_scaffold0000059
GCGCCGGUGGUGCAAGGCGUAGCAUCGUUGCCCGGAAAGCAGAUGGUGCGGGUCCGAGUCCCGCCUGGUGCA